CAGGAUUUAUUUUUUUAGUCACUCAAAGGGCUUUGAAGGGUCCUGCACCGAUCCAGUGUUAUCUCAUGGUGUCUGUAUCUCUAUCUUAUCUUUUUACAACCCCUUAUCAUUACGGUCAUACCAAAUGCACUGAUAAAGCUGAAUUUAUAUGCACCAGGGUGAGGCAGAGGUGCAACCUCCACUCCUUCAUCUGGGAAGCAAAGCAGGACAGGUGAGACCCUUCAGGUUAUCUCAGAGGACACGAGACGCCCAGUUCAGGGCAUCUGAGUUCAGUCUUGGACAUCCCAAAGGCCAGUCUGGGAGAUUUCAUUGCCCUGAUCCCACUUGGAGAAGCCUUCCUGGAAUCACAGAUUGUCCCAAGUUGUAAGGGACCCAUCAGGAUCACCAAGUCCAGCUCCUGGCCCUGCACAGACCAUCCCCAAGAGCCACAUCCUGUGCCCAAGGGUGUUGUCCAAACUCUGCUUGAUGGUCUUUCAGGUCAAGAACAUUUCAACCCAAGGAAAAUGCUGGGAAUAGCUGCCAGCCCCAGGCUCCCUCUGCUUUCUUCCCAAGUUCCUUCCUCCCAGCUCUGACUUCCCCAUGGCGCUCACCACAGGCAGGGGAUGGGGACUGAAUUUGCUUCCCUGUGCAGUGAAGGGCUGUUCCCACCCCACAGGAGGAGUCACAUCAGUGCCACCCAGAACGAGGGAUUCAACAGAAACAACCCCUGUCCCCUUGGAGCCCAACCUGACAACCACAGCAAUGGCCCGAAUGUCCUUUUUGCCACCAGGUGGAGCUGGGAGAGAAUUCCUUGGAAGGGGCCAGCUGACAGCACCCCAGGAUGAAGAGAUGAUUUACACUGCUCUGACUCGAGCCAGGCUGUCAAAACCUCUCUCCAUGAAUCCACGUGUUGCAAAAAGUGGGGGAUCUUCUGCCUUUCCAGCCUUUGAAGAAAAUGGGAAUGACUGGUGAAGGAAACCAUUGAAAGAAAAGCAGAACUUCAUCCCUCUCACAAAGUCAUCCUCCCUCUUGCCGCCGUGGUGCCAGAUAAAAUUUGGAUUUGUGCUACUUCCUGAUGAAAAUCCAUUUCCCCCCAUGCUCCUGUUGACAACCUGCCAGGAAAGGUUAUUAGAUACCAUCCCUAAAGCCUGUGCACACUGACCUGUUCCGAGGGAAUCAAAUAGAAGCCUACUCCCGCCCCAGCCUGGGCCCACCCAGGGAGAAGCAGGCUGAUGGCUUGACAAAACUCGGAUUAUUCUGUCCAGAAAGCUGCACUUUUAAUGGAUUAAACAUCUCUGUCUUUUGUGGUUGCCUGCUUAAGAAAGAAAAUAAUUACAAGAAGAAAAUGUUGAACUGGUGUAUGUUUUCAUCUUUUGAUUCAGAGUCAUUUUUCUUUCCUCCCUGCCUUCCUCCUCUCCUGCUUUUCUCCGUACAGAGGAGUAAAUUUUGCCUCUGUGAUAUUUCUUUGGCUGAACAUGAUUCAGCACCGCUGGUGCUCUAAAUCAAGGUAAUCAAAAUAAUCCUGUUCUUUUAAUCCAGCCACUGGACCCAACCCUGUGUACUACAUAUAUAUUUUUUUCCGAAGGUUUGGCUCUGACAUCACUGAAAUAUUGCAGCAAAAUAUCAGGAAUAAACCAGCAUUGUUCAUUCCUGCUUUCAUCCCUGGCCAAACACCCGCAGCUCUCCACAGGCCUCAAAAAAGACCUGGCUGCCUAGAAAUGCCCAAGCAGGAUUUGUUCUCCAGUGCUGGGCUGCUCAGGAAGAGGAUUCGUUAAGGGGAAAAACUGGAAUUAAAGAUUCCAGGAGAAUUGUCCUGUCUUAGGUUGGAAAUGCAGGAUGUGUUUGGGGGUG
rnacentral:lncRNA from 1 species